rnacentral:rRNA from 1 species
GACGAACGCUGGCGGCGUGCUUAACACAUGCAAGUCGAACGGAAAGGCCCUGCUUUUGUGGGGUGCUCGAGUGGCGAACGGGUGAGUAACACGUGAGUAACCUGCCCUUGACUUUGGGAUAACUUCAGGAAACUGGGGCUAAUACCGGAUAGGAGCUCCUGCUGCAUGGUGGGGGUUGGAAAGUUUCGGCGGUUGGGGAUGGACUCGCGGCUUAUCAGCUUGUUGGUGGGGUAGUGGAUUACCAAGGCUGUGACGGGUAGCCGGCAUGAGAGGGUGACCGGCCACAUUGGGCCUGAGAUACGGCCCAGACUCCUACGGGAGGCAGCAGUGGGGAAUAUUGCCCAAUGGGCGGACGCCUGAUGCAGCAACGCCGCGUGCGGGAUGACGGCCUUCGGGUUGUAAACCGCUUUCGCCUGUGACGAAGCGUGAGUGACGGUAAUGGGUAAAGAAGCACCGGCUAACUACGUG